AGCCUAGAGAACAAUUGUACACAGUUCCAAUUGCAGAAGUCUUCUUGAGCCCAAACCACAAAACUGUCUAGCAGAGAAGUUCUUCAUAGAAGUUAGCAAUGUUUUAAGAAAUCUCUGAUGAGCAUAUCAAAAAGACAAAUGGACAUCUGAAAGUAUGAAACUGCUGUAAAGCCAAGACUUCAUGUACUUAUUUUGAAGAUGAAAAGUGAAUCUGAGAAUGAAAGUACCACUGCAGGCCACCAGAUACUUCAAAUGUAGUAUUCAGUAACGGGGAUAGAAGUGUUAAGAAAGGUAAAGCUGGAAAGGAGAACAAUACAGCAGCAACACAUAUUCUGAUUUACCUGCCCUUCAUAUGCCCUAUGGGAAUAUCUCCAAUGAAAACUCUACUAUGCACGAAGCAAGCAAACAACUGCACCUGUUCUACAACCAACAAGGAUCAGAAUCUAAAUUUUCCAACAAUGCACAUAAAUACAAGUUCCAUCAUUGAAAGGAAAUGCUUAUAC